GCAAACUUGGUCAUUUAGAGGAAGUAAAAGUCGUAACAAGGUUUCCGUAGGUGAACCUGCGGAAGGAUCAUUAAUAAAUUUAUAAAAAAAAGUUUUCUUCAUUAUUUUAAUGGAGAUUACGAGUAUAAAUGUGCACAAAAAAUAGUAAAAAGGUUCUCUUUUUUAUUCCUUUGUCAUUAACUUGACAAAUAAAUAAAAAAAAGUCCCUUUAACUCACUUUUUUAAUGAAUUAAUGGCAUUUAACUUUAAAAUUUGACUAAUUUAGUCAAAAAAUAAUGAAAUAAUGAAAAAACAACUUUUAACAACGGAUCUCUUGGCUCUCCCAUCGAUGAAGAACGCAGC
rnacentral:misc_RNA from 1 species